rnacentral:pre_miRNA from 1 species
GUUCACCUGUGUGUGGAUGGUGUUCAGUACCAGGGACAAGUGUAUUUACUUGUGUGUGGACGGUGUUCAGUACCAGGGACAGUUGCGUUUACCU